rnacentral:rRNA from 1 species
CGUGCAGGCGGUCAAGUAAGUGGGAUGUGAAAUCCCUCGGCUCACCCGAGGACCUGCAUCCCAAACUGCUUGGCUUGAGUAUGGGAGAGGAUGAGGGAAUUCCUGGUGUAGCGGUGAAAUGCGUAGAUAUCAGGAGGAACACCGGUGGCGAAAGCGCUCAUCUGGCCCAAUACUGACGCUGAGGCGCGAAAGCUAGGGGAGCAAACG